AAGCAAGAGAAAAAGGGGAUGAACCCUAAUUCAACAAAACCUUCAAAUUGGAGGAUCAAACGAAGGCCAAAUUCAGAUUGGAAUAUAUAUAAACGAUCACCAAGUCAAGGGGAUCGUAAGUUGGCGCUUAACAAGCUAGGUGAAGCUUGGGGAGAAAGCGGGUCGAUCGAAUCAAGUAUGAAAAGAAAAGCGUAAUCUGGAUGUGAGGUAAAAUCUAGUACUAGAGGAUGGUCAAGCUCAAUGAAGAACCAAACACGAUCAAGAAACAAGCUUCCGCACGUCGCUACUUAGUUUUUUUUACGACAACUCAAUUAGACUAUGUUGUAUAACUUUUAAAUUAUGAAAGUUUUAAUAAACUCGUAGUGUCAUACGUAUGUGUAAUUGUAUAAACAUGUAUU